rnacentral:rRNA from 1 species
AGCGAAACGGGAAGAGCCCAAACCAACAAGCUUGCUUGUUGGGGUUGUAGGACUCCAAUAUGGUAGUCUGUUAGUAUAGUUGAAGGAUUUGGAAAAUUCCGCUAAAGAGGGUGAAAGCCCCGUAGACGAAAUGCUAACAACACCUAGGAGGAUCCUGAGUACGGCGGAACACGAGAAAUUCCGUCGGAAUCCGCGGGGACCAUCCCGCAAGGCUAAAUACUCCCUAGUGACCGAUAGUGAACCAGUACCGUGAGGGAAAGGUGAAAAGCACCCCGGAAGGGGAGUGAAAUAGAUCCUGAAACCGUGUGCCUACAACAAGUCAAAGCUCGUUAAUGAGUGAUGGCGUGCCUUUUGUAGAAUGAACCGGCGAGUUACGAUUGCAUGCGAGGUUAAGUCGAAGAGACGGAGCCGCAGCGAAAGCGAGUCUGAAUAGGGCGAAUGAGUAUGUAGUCGUAGACCCGAAACCAUGUGAUCUACCCAUGUCCAGGUUGAAGGUGCGGUAAAACGCACUGGAGGACCGAACCCACGUACGUUGAAAAGUGCGGGGAUGAGGUGUGGGUAGCGGAGAAAUUCCAAACGAACUUGGAGAUAGCUGGUUCUCUCCGAAAUAGCUUUAGGGCUAGCCUCGGAAUUGAGAAUGAUGGAGGUAGAGCACUGUUUGGACUAGGGGCCCAUCUCGGGUUACCGAAUUCAGAUAAACUCCGAAUGCCAUUCAUUUAUAUCCGGGAGUCAGACUGCGAGUGAUAAGAUCCGUAGUCGAAAGGGAAACAGCCCAGACCACCAGCUAAGGUCCCAAAAUAUAUGUUAAGUGGAAAAGGAUGUGGGGUUGCACAGACAACUAGGAUGUUGGCUUAGAAGCAGCCACCAUUUAAAGAGUGCGUAAUAGCUCACUAGUCGAGUGACCCUGCGCCGAAAAUGUACCGGGGCUAAACAUAUUACCGAAGCUGUGGACUACACCAUUAGGUGUAGUGGUAGGAGAGCGUUCUAAGGGCGUUGAAGGUCGAUCGUGAGGACGGCUGGAGCGCUUAGAAGUGAGAAUGCCGGUAUGAGUAGCGAAAGACAGGUGAGAAUCCUGUCCACCGUAUGACUAAGGUUUCCUGGGGAAGGCUCGUCCGCCCAGGGUUAGUCGGGACCUAAGCCGAGGCCGAUAGGCGUAGGCGAUGGACAACAGGUUGAUAUUCCU